GGUUAAGCGACUAAGCGUACACGGUGGAUGCCCUGGCAGUCAGAGGCGAUGAAGGACGUGCUAAUCUGCGAUAAGCGUCGGUAAGGUGAUAUGAACCGUUAUAACCGGCGAUUUCCGAAUGGGGAAACCCAGUGUGAUUCGUCACACUAUCAUUACGUGAAUACAUAGCGUAAUGAAGCGAACCGGGGGAACUGAAACAUCUAAGUACCCCGAGGAAAAGAAAUCAACCGAGAUUCCCCCAGUAGCGGCGAGCGAACGGGGAGCAGCCCAGAGUCUGAAUCAGCUUGUGUGUUAGUGGAACGGUCUGGAAAGUCCGACGGUACAGGGUGAUAGUCCCGUACACCAAAAUGCACAGGUUGUGAACUCGAAGAGUAGGGCGGGACACGUGGUAUCCUGUCUGAAUAUGGGGGGACCAUCCUCCAAGGCUAAAUACUCCUGACUGACCGAUAGUGAACCAGUACCGUGAGGGAAAGGCGAAAAGAACCCCGGCGAGGGGAGUGAAAAAGAACCUGAAACCGUGUACGUACAAGCAGUGGGAGCAUCCUUUUGGGUGUGACUGCGUACCUUUUGUAUAAUGGGUCAGCGACUUAUAUUCUGUAGCAAGGUUAACCGUAUAGGGGAGCCGAAGGGAAACCGAGUCUUAACUGGGCGUUAAGUUGCAGGGUAUAGACCCGAAACCCGGUGAUCUAGCCAUGGGCAGGUUGAAGGUUGGGUAACACUAACUGGAGGACCGAACCGACUAAUGUUGAAAAAUUAGCGGAUGACUUGUGGCUGGGGGUGAAAGGCCAAUCAAACCGGGAGAUAGCUGGUUCUCCCCGAAAGCUAUUUAGGUAGCGCCUCGUGAAUUCAUCUUCGGGGGUAGAGCACUGUUUCGGCUAGGGGGUCAUCCCGACUUACCAACCCGAUGCAAACUGCGAAUACCGAAGAAUGUUAUCACGGGAGACACACGGCGGGUGCUAACGUCCGUCGUGAAGAGGGAAACAACCCAGACCGCCAGCUAAGGUCCCAAAGUCAUGGUUAAGUGGGAAACGAUGUGGGAAGGCACAGACAGCCAGGAUGUUGGCUUAGAAGCAGCCAUCAUUUAAAGAAAGCGUAAUAGCUCACUGGUCGAGUCGGCCUGCGCGGAAGAUGUAACGGGGCUAAACCAUGCACCGAAGCUGCGGCAGCGACACUAUGUGUUGUUGGGUAGGGGAGCGUUCUGUAAGCCGUUGAAGGUGUAUCGUGAGGUAUGCUGGAGGUAUCAGAAGUGCGAAUGCUGACAUAAGUAACGAUAAUGCGGGUGAAAAACCCGCACGCCGGAAGACCAAGGGUUCCUGUCCAACGUUAAUCGGGGCAGGGUGAGUCGACCCCUAAGGCGAGGCCGAAAGGCGUAGUCGAUGGGAAACAGGUUAAUAUUCCUGUACUUGGUGUUACUGCGAAGGGGGGACGGAGAAGGCUAUGUUAGCCGGGCGACGGUUGUCCCGGUUUAAGCAUGUAGGCGGAGGUUCCAGGUAAAUCCGGUACCUUUUUAACGCUGAGGUGUGAUGACGAGGCACUACGGUGCUGAAGUAACAAAUGCCCUGCUUCCAGGAAAAGCCUCUAAGCAUCAGGUAACACGAAAUCGUACCCCAAACCGACACAGGUGGUCAGGUAGAGAAUACCAAGGCGCUUGAGAGAACUCGGGUGAAGGAACUAGGCAAAAUGGUGCCGUAACUUCGGGAGAAGGCACGCUGAUAUGUAGGUGAAGUGAUUUACUCAUGGAGCUGAAAUCAGUCGAAGAUACCAGCUGGCUGCAACUGUUUAUUAAAAACACAGCACUGUGCAAACACGAAAGUGGACGUAUACGGUGUGACGCCUGCCCGGUGCCGGAAGGUUAAUUGAUGGGGUUAUCCGUAAGGAGAAGCUCUUGAUCGAAGCCCCGGUAAACGGCGGCCGUAACUAUAACGGUCCUAAGGUAGCGAAAUUCCUUGUCGGGUAAGUUCCGACCUGCACGAAUGGCGUAAUGAUGGCCAGGCUGUCUCCACCCGAGACUCAGUGAAAUUGAACUCGCUGUGAAGAUGCAGUGUACCCGCGGCAAGACGGAAAGACCCCGUGAACCUUUACUAUAGCUUGACACUGAACACUGGUCCUUGAUGUGUAGGAUAGGUGGGAGGCUUUGAAGUGUGGACGCCAGUCUGCAUGGAGCCAUCCUUGAAAUACCACCCUUUAAUGGCUGGUGUUCUAACGUGGACCCGUUACCCGGGUUGCGGACAGUGUCUGGUGGGUAGUUUGACUGGGGCGGUCUCCUCCUAAAGAGUAACGGAGGAGCACGAAGGUUAGCUAAUCCUGGUCGGACAUCAGGAGGUUAGUGCAAAGGCAUAAGCUAGCUUGACUGCGAGAGUGACGGCUCGAGCAGGUGCGAAAGCAGGUCUUAGUGAUCCGGUGGUUCUGAAUGGAAGGGCCAUCGCUCAACGGAUAAAAGGUACUCCGGGGAUAACAGGCUGAUACCGCCCAAGAGUUCAUAUCGACGGCGGUGUUUGGCACCUCGAUGUCGGCUCAUCACAUCCUGGGGCUGAAGUAGGUCCCAAGGGUAUGGCUGUUCGCCAUUUAAAGUGGUACGCGAGCUGGGUUUAGAACGUCGUGAGACAGUUCGGUCCCUAUCUGCCGUGGGCGCUGGAGAAUUGAGGGGGGCUGCUCCUAGUACGAGAGGACCGGAGUGGACGCAUCACUGGUGUUCGGGUUGUCAUGCCAAUGGCAUUGCCCGGUAGCUAAAUGCGGAAGAGAUAAGUGCUGAAAGCAUCUAAGCACGAAACUUGCCCCGAGAUGAGUUCUCCCUGAGACUUUAAGUCUCCUGAAGGAACGUUAAAGACGAUGACGUUGAUAGGUCGGGUGUGUAAGUGUAGCGAUACAUUGAGCUAACCGAUACUAAUGAACCGUGAGGCUUAACCUU
rnacentral:rRNA from 1 species